rnacentral:rRNA from 1 species
UACGAAGGGGGCUAGCGUUGUUCGGAAUUACUGGGCGUAAAGCGCACGUAGGCGGUGAUCUUUGUCAGAGGUGAAAGCCUGGGGCUCAACUCCAGAAUUGCCUUUGAAACGGGAUCGCUUGAGUCCGAGAGAGGAUGGCGGAAUUCCUAGUGUAGAGGUGAAAUUCGUAGAUAUUAGGAAGAACACCGGUGGCGAAGGCGGCCAUCUGGCUCGGUACUGACGCUCAGGCGCGAAAGCGUGGGGAGCGAACAGG